rnacentral:miRNA from 1 species
CCCGGCCGCGGAUGCCUGGUAAUAGGCGGCAGCGGCGGCGGCGGCGGCGGCGGCGGCGGCGGCGGCGGCGGCGGCGGC